rnacentral:precursor_RNA from 1 species
AAGGAAACAGUGGAGGAAAAGGAGGAUCUGAACAAGCAUCAGCAGCAGGCAGUCAAAGGAGGUCAAGAGAUUGUAGCUCAGGGUGCGAAUCACAGUGCAGCUCUCCUCUGGCAUGAAGGCUG